rnacentral:rRNA from 1 species
CAGUAGCCGCGGUAAUACGAAGGGUGCAAGCGUUAAUCGGAAUUACUGGGCGUAAAGCGUGCGUAGGCGGUUUGUUAAGUCUGCUGUGGGAUCCCCGGGCUCAACCUGGGAAUGGCAGUGGAUACUGGCAAGCUAGAGUGUGUCAGAGGAUGGUGGAAUUCCCGGUGUAGCGGUGAAAUGCGUAGAGAUCGGGAGGAACAUCAGUGGCGAAGGCGGCCAUCUGGGACAACACUGACGCUGAGGCACGAAAGCGUGGGGAGCAAACAGGAUUAGAUACCCCCGUAGUCCCUGUCUCUUAUAC